AAAAAAUAUACAAAAUCCUAAACACUAUAAUCAGGCUAAAUCUCCAUUGAAUCAUUUAUGCAGCUCAAUAUACAGUUUUAUUAAAUUGAACACAACACAUAAUACAUACACAUAUACAUCAGUUUAUAGUUUAUACAUGGGGAAAUGACAACUAUUACCUAAUCAUCUUCCAUUUGUUGGCACCUCAUUUAUAUCAAUUGCCAAAUAUGAUAUCCUCACUAGUCAUCACAACUUGCACUUACAUGAAAUGCUAAGCACAGAACUAAUGAAACGCAGUUCUUUCUCAUCUCACAAUUUGAUAGCAUCAAUAGCUAGCCUCAAAUGUUAUUCAUUCCAUUAGUCCCAUUUUUCUGACAGCACUUAAAGCUAGAACGACUCAAAUACCUCUGGAGCCUGAAAAUUAGAAUCGAUCUGCCUGCUUUUGGCUUGGAACCCAUAACUCCCAUCCUGUUGUAAACUCAUAUCACAAACUUCAGACUUAGAAUAUCUAGGAUUUCGCAAACUAUUACUCCCAUUAAUUCUAUUCCUACCAUCAAUCUUACUCCUAUUAGUCUUAGUAUCACCACU
rnacentral:misc_RNA from 1 species